AAAUUUGAAAUCUGGCCCCUGGGGCCCGAGUUGUAAUUUGUAGAGGAUGCUUUUGGCGCGGUGCCUUCCGAGUUCCCUGGAACGGGACGCCUUAGAGGGUGAGAGCCCCGUACGGUUGGACGCCAAGCCUCUGUAAAGCUCCUUCGACGAGUCGAGUAGUUUGGGAAUGCUGCUCUAAAUGGGAGGUAAAUUUCUUCUAAAGCUAAAUACCGGCCAGAGACCGAUAGCGCACAAGUAGAGUGAUCGAAAGAUGAAAAGUACUUUGAAAAGAGGGUUAAACAGUACGUGAAAUUGUUGAAAGGGAAGCGUUUGUGACCAGACCUUCGCCGGGCGGAUCAUCGGGCGUUCUUCGCCCGUGCACUCCGCCCGCGCCUAGGCCAGCAUCGGUUCUCGCCGGGGGAGAAAGGCCCGGGGAACGUAGCUCUCUCCGGGGAGUGUUAUAGCCCCGGGCGCAAUGCCCUGGCGGGGACCGAGGUUCGCGCGUUUACGCAAGGAUGCUGGCGUAAUGGUCAUCAACGACCCGUCUUGAAACACGGACCAAGGAGUCGAACAUUUGUGCGAGUGUUUGGGUGUCAAACCCUCACGCGUAAUGAAAGUGAACGGAGGUGAGAGCCCCCCCCGCGGGGGCGCAUCAUCGACCGAUCCUGAUGUCUUCGGAUGGAUUUGAGUAGGAGCACAGCUGUUCGGACCCGAAAGAUGGUGAACUAUGCGUGGAUAGGGUGAAGCCAGAGGA
rnacentral:rRNA from 1 species